rnacentral:rRNA from 1 species
AGAGUUUGAUCCUGGCUCAGAACGAACGCUGGCGGCGUGCUUAACACAUGCAAGUCGAACGAGAAUCGGAGCUUGCUCCGAGGAUAGUGGCGCACGGGUGAGUAACGCGUGGAUAACCUGCCCUGGUAUCUGGGAUAACAUCUCGAAAGGGGUGCUAAUACCGGAUAAGCCCACGGGAACUUUGGUUCUUGCGGGAAAAGGUGGCCUCUGAAUAUGCUACUGUAUCAGGAUGGGUCCGCGUACCAUUAGCUAGUUGGUGGUGUAAUGGACCACCAAGGCGACGAUGGUUAGCUGGUCUGAGAGGAUGAUCAGCCACACUGGAACUGAGACACGGACCAGACUCCUACGGGAGGCAGCAGUAAGGAAUAUUGGUCAACGGACGCAAGUCUGAACCAGCCAUGCCGCGUGCAGGAUGACGGCCUUAUGGGUUGUAAACUGCUUUUAUACAAGAGAAAACCCUCCUACGUGUAGGAGGCUGAUAGUAUUGUAGGAAUAAGCAUCGGCUAAC